UACGAAGGGGGCUAGCGUUGCUCGGAAUCACUGGGCGUAAAGGGUGCGUAGGCGGGUCCUUAAGUCAGGGGUGAAAUCCUGGAGCUCAACUCCAGAACUGCCUUUGAUACUGAGGGUCUUGAGUUCGGGAGAGGUGAGUGGAACUGCGAGUGUAGAGGUGAAAUUCGUAGAUAUUCGCAAGAACACCAGUGGCGAAGGCGGCUCACUGGCCCGAUACUGACGCUGAGGUGCGAAAGCGGUGGGAGCAAACAGGG
rnacentral:rRNA from 1 species